rnacentral:rRNA from 1 species
GAUGAACGCUGGCGGCGUGCCUAAUACAUGCAAGUCGAGCGAACGGACGAGCAGCUUGCUUCCCUGAUGUUACCGGCGGACGGGUGAGUAACACGUGGAUAACCUACCUAUAAGACUGGGAUAACUUCGGGAAACCGGAGCUAAUACCGGAUGAUAUUUUGAACCGCAUGGUUCAAAAGUGAAAGACGGUCUUGCUGUCACUUAUAGAUGGAUCCGCGCUGCAUUAGCUAGUUGGUAAGGUAACGGCUUACCAAGGCAACGAUGCGUAGCCGACCUGAGAGGGUGAUCGGCCACACUGGAACUGAGACACGGUCCAGACUCCUACGGGAGGCAGCAGUAGGGAAUCUUCCGCAAUGGGCGCAAGCCUGACGGAGCAACGCCGCGUGAGUGAUGAAGGUCUUCGGGUCGUAAAACUCUGUUAUUAGGGAAGAACAUAUGUGUAAGUAACUGUGCACAUCUUGACGGUACCUAAUCAGAAAGCCACGGCUAACUACGUG